GACGAACGCUGGCGGCGUGCUUAACACAUGCAAGUCGAACGGAAAGGCCCUGCUUUUGUGGGGUGCUCGAGUGGCGAACGGGUGAGUAACACGUGAGUAACCUGCCCUUGACUUUUGGAUAACUUCAGGAAACUGGGGCUAAUACCGGAUAGGAGCUCCUGCUGCAUGGUGGGGGUUGGAAAGUUUCGGCGGUUGGGGAUGGACUCGCGGCUUAUCAGCUUGUUGGUGGGGUAGUGGCUUACCAAGGCUUUGACGGGUAGCCGGCCUGAGAGGGUGACCGGCCACAUUGGGACUGGGAGACGGCCCAGACUCCUACGGGAGGAAGCGGUGGGGAAUAUUGCACAAUGGGCGGAAGCCUGAUGCAGCAACGCCGCGUGCGGGAUGACGGCAUUCGGGUUGUAAACCGCUUUCGCCUGUGACGAAGCGUGAGUGACGGUAAUGGGUAAAGAAGCACCGGAUAACUACG
rnacentral:rRNA from 1 species